UAAAGAAUUAGUUAAACCUAUCAUAACCUUUGUUUGUCAGACAAAAAUUAUCUAAUUUAGAUAUUCUUUAA
rnacentral:tRNA from 1 species